UUUUUUAAAAAAAAAAUUUAUUUUUUUAAGGUUUUAGUAUUUAGUAAAAAUUAAUUUUUAGAUUUAUAGUUUAAUAGUAUUGUAAAAGAAAUUGUUAAAUUUUAUAAAGAAUUUAAUAGUACCUUUUGUAUCAGGGUUGAUUAAAAUUUUUAAUUUAUUUUAAUUUCUCAAAAUUUAUAGAGUUAAUUUUAUUAUUAAUUUAUUGGGGUAAAAAUAUUUAUAAAAUAAUAUUAGUUUUGAAAUUUAAUUCGUUAUAUUAUAUUUAGUUAUUUAAGAUUUAAAUUUAAUUUAAAAUUUUAAAAGUUGUAUUAAUUUUAUUGAUUAAUAUUUUAAAUUUAAAUUAUUUUAGGGAUAAGCUUGAAAUUUUAAUAUAAUAAUUUAUUUAUUUUAAUAAUUUAUAGGAAUAGAAAUUUUUAUUUAAGUUUGUAAAAAUUUAUUAUUUAUUUAAUUUUAAUUUAUUAUAUUUAUAUUUAUUUUUAAUAUUAAAUUUUAUUAAUUAAUAUUUAGUUAAUAGUAAUAAUGAUUAAAUUAGUAUAAUAUAUAAAUUUAUAAAUUAUGAAUUCGGCAAAAAUUAUUUUCAUCUGUUUAACAAAAACAUUGUAUUAAGUUUAAUUUAAUAUAGGAUCUGCUCAAUGAUUUAUUAAAUAGCUGCAGUAUUUUGACUGUGCAAAGGUAGCAUAAUAAUUAGUCUUUUAAUUGAGGACUUGAAUGAAAGAUUUGAUGAGAAAUAGACUUUAUUAUUUAUAAAAUUAAAAUUUUAUUUUUAAGUAAAAAAGCUUAAAUUAUUUAAAGGGACGAUAAGACCCUAUAAAACUUUAUAAAUUUUGAUUUUAAUUUUUUUGGAUUCAUAAAUAUUUUAUAAUUAAAAUUUAUUUUAUUGGGGCGAUAAAAAAAAUUAUUAAACUUUUUUUAAAAUUUAACAUUAUUUAAUGAAUAUUUGAAUUAAAAUUUUUAAUUAAAGGAAAAAGUUACUUUAGGGAUAACAGCGUAAUUAAUUUUUUAAGUUCAAAUUUAAAAAUUAGUUUGCGACCUCGAUGUUGAAUUAAGAUUAAUUUUAGGUGCAAAAUUUUAAAUAUUAGGUCUGUUCGACCUUUAAA
rnacentral:rRNA from 1 species